UCAAGGUAUUGGUAGGGUUGGUUUCCUCUGAAGCUUCCCUCUUUGGGUCUUAAAUGGGUGACUUCUUCCUUGGGCUAUACAUGGUCUUCUCUCUGUGUGUCUGUGUCCAGAUUUCCUCUUCUUAUAAAGAUACCAAUCAUAUUGGGUUAGGACACACCAUAGGGAUCUCAUUUUAACUAUCUCUUUAAAUAUCCUAUCUCCAAAUCUUAUCAUAUUCUGUCAAACUAGGGGCUAAGACUUCAAUAUUAAGUUCUUGGGGGACAAAAUUCAACUCAUAACAGCUUUCCCUGGUAACUAUCCCAUUGUGGCAUUUUUUCCAUAGCAUUUAUCACUAUCUGAAUUUAUGUUAUUCCUCCAUUUGUUUAUAUGUUUAUCUCACCACUAGAAUAGAAGCUCUCUGGAGGACCUUCAUCCAUCAAUCUCCUCAUGCCUAGAGCAGUGUCUAGCACAAAAUAGAAGCUCAGUGAGUGUUCAUGCAGUAACAGAACAGACAGAAAGGAGAGGGGAAGAACUAUAGAUGCUUUGUUUCAACGUGGUGAGGUUUUUGUACUCACUUCUGCACUAUUGUUUUUAGUUCUCAAAUAUUCACUCUGUUAAUAUGAGUUAUAUGGCCUUCGAAAAAAUGACUUAUCUUUUCUAGGUCUCAGAAUCCCCAUCUGAUAAGUGGGGUACAUAAAGGUUUAUUGUGAAGAUAAAACUAUUGUUUAAUAAAUAUUAGUUGCCAUUAUAGGCAGUUCUUAGUUUAAAUCAUCCUCACUGUAAGGAAGAAUAAACCUAUUUUCCUAGUAGUAGCGUAAGAGGUGAGGGAUAGGGCUGAUUUAUACUUAAAGAAUUGAUAAUCCUUCUCUCUAGUCUUUGUUAUUAACAGCAAUAGUCCUUUAACUUUUGGAGCAGAGAAGUUAUAUUUUAUUUUCCAAAAGGUUUGAAGUUACCAGGAUGUAAAUGUGAGGGGAGGUGUGGAUAGAGAAAAAUCUCUGAGAAAGCUGGAGUGAGUGUAGGGGUGAUAAUUCUGAUGUUGUCCCUGAGAGUGAUAUUGCCCCAAAGAGAUCCUUGAAAGGACUGUUUUCUUCACCACUGGGAAUUCCAUCAAACUAUGGAAAGGAGGCUAACUAAAAGAAAAUAGGCCUAAGAUUAUUCCUAUUUUAGAAUAAACUAAAGCUCAGUGAGCUGACUUGAAUGAAAGUCCCACAGAUGAACUCUAAGCUAAGUGCUCUUUUGAUGACUUUAUCUUGCCUUUCCCACACACUUCAGAAAUCAAUUGAAUGGCAAAAGUGCUGAAACCGAAAGAAUAUUCUAGAAAUCCAUGUGGAACCUCUCAGAGGUAGAUUUAACCUCUAAUGUAGGGUGGGGUGACCUUGUAAAUAGUUAAGAAAUACAAUGUUUAUAUUACAUCAAGAUUUUCAUAGGCCCCACCUACUUUGAGGCCAAUUUUACGCUCUAGAGACACACACUAUUUCCUGCCAGCUACCCAAACAGCUUUGAAGUGAUGGGCAUAAUGACUCAUGGUCAUGUAACAUUCCUUUUAGACACAUAUCAGCGUAUUUGUUAUUACAUUACUGCCUGAACACCCACAGAACCUCAGGAGAUAAAAUAGGAUUAAUGUUUAAGAAUAUAGUCCUACGCAUUUCUAUUUUAUUCAAAUCAAACUUUUGAAAUGAUCACUGUUGGGAAUUCAUUUUUGCUUCAAAUAAGGAUAAGGUAAAGAUGUGUGAACAGACUGGUCCUUGUCUUUGGAGUCAAGCCAUAUUCUGGAACUGUUUUAUUUGGAAACCACACCUAAGUCACAGCAAAGAAAUUAUCUGGCAUGAAUCACAUGACCCAGCUUGCAAGUGUGAAACUGGAAGGAGUUGGCAUUACACAGCAGGACAUAUAGUGGGUGACCAGGAGGUAUCCUAUAAAAUGUGAGAUAAUAAACAUGUGUUGUUUUAAGCCUCUACAUUUCAGGAUCGUUUGGUAUGCAAUAUAGUCAUUAUGUCUCCUACAACCCAAAGUAGUGAGUAUUAGUAUCGAUAAUGUUUGAGACAGCGUUCUAAGCACUUCAUAUAUAUUCAUUCAUUUAACAAUCACAACAACUAAAGAGGUAAGUGCUAUUAUUUUCUCAAUUUUACACAUGAGGGAACUGAGGCAGAAAGAUUAAGUAAUGGCCAAAGAUCACUCAGCUAAGUGAGGGUUAGAGUUAGCGCUUGGUUUAGAUGCUCUAAAUAUUAAAUGAAUGAAUAAAUAAUGUCUCUAUUACUCUGCAAACUAAGAACAUUAAUAUUUUGGGGGCUACUAAAACAUUUUCCUUUUUUUAAGAUUUUAUUUAUAAAAUAAAUAUUCAUGAGAGACACAGGAAGAGAGAGAGAGAGAGAGAGAGAGAGAGAGAGAGGCAGAGACACAGGAAGAGGGAGAAGCAGGCUCCAUGCAGGGAGCACAACAUGGGACUUGAUCCCAGGUCUCCAGGAUCAGGCCCUUGGGCUGAAGGCAGUGCUAAACUGCUGAGCCACCUGGGCUGCCCAAAACAUUUUCAGCAUGUUAGCAAACUCUAUGAAAUUAAUCAAUGGAUAUGUAAUGGACUCUCUCUGUCCAUUUGGGUUCUGUGGUUGACAUGAAAUAUGUAUCCCUUAAUCCACUGUACACUGUAGAUAUUAUAAGUACUUGAUACUAUUUACUGUCUAGUUAAGGAAAUCAUGCAGAAGAGUCUGUCACUUGUCAUGAUUUGUGGUAUGAGAUUUACAGCCAAGAUAUGUGAAUUUGACCAUUUUAUUGACCAAAAUUACCAGCUUCAGCUGUAAGCAAAUAAUUCUUCCACCUUGAAUAGCCGAUGGGCAUUUUAUAAGAUAAUUAUGAUUUCAGUUUCUGUGGGGGCAGGAAUCAGAGUAUACUUAGAUGGGUAUUCUACGUAACAAGUUGCAAUCAAGGUGUUCCCCAAGGCUUAACUGUGGAAAAAUUUGCUUCUAAACCCAUACAUAGUUAUUGGCAGGGGGUUUUUUUCCUCAGUAGCUGUUGGCCAGGGGUUGCCCCCAGUUCCAUGCCAUUUGGGUCUUUCCAACAUGGCAGCUUGCUUCAUCAAAGCUUAUAACUUGAGAAACCAAUAUAUUAGAAUUGGCUAAGAAGACACAAAUCAGUCUUUACAACCUAAUUAUGGAAGUGAUAUUCCAUCAUUUUGGCCAUAUUUGUUGAUUAAAGUGAGUCAUUAGGUCUAUCCCAUACUUAAAGGGACAGUAUUACACCAAAGUGUAAAUACCAGGGGUUAGGGAAUCAUCUGAGGCCAUGUUAGAGCCUACUUACUAGUUAGCUAGGGGUGGAGCAGGGGAAUAGAUGAAACCUCUCAGAAAAGUGAACAGAUGAAGUGGAGGCCCUGAGGUAGGUGAGCACCUGUAGGUGGCCUCUCCAUGUAGCAUGGUGACUAGUUUCUGAGAUAGAGUGCUCCAAGGGAAUGUUCCAAGAGAAAAAGGCAGAAGCAGAAGUUGCCAGGGGAAGGUGUCACUCAUCUGUUCCACUGUGGUUACGUUGAUCAAAGCAUUUUAUAAGCCCAUAUCAGAGUUAAUAAACUCUCCUUCUGACUGGAGGAGCAGCAUGCUUGCAUAAGAACUGGCAGAUUUAGGCCAUCCUUGGAAAAUAACAACCACAAUCAGUGAUUUUAGCAAGAGUAAUUUAGAUUUGAGUUAAAAACUGUAUAAGAAAGUGUGUACAUACCUCUUUAAGAAACUUGGGUUAGGACAGGAAGAUGAGACUUAAAUGGGUAACUGGAAGAAGAGAGGGUGAAGACAGGACUUUAAAAUGAUGUUUGCAUCUUUGAGGGCCUGAUCCUGUAGAGAAGAGCUUGAAGAUUGUGACAGAGAUGGGCUGGUAGAUGAACCGGGUUUCUGAGAGAGGGGAGGGGAAAGAAUUCAGAAUGCAAAUUUGGGGAAUUGGGCUUUGGCAGGAGAACUUUUUCCACUGAAACAGAAAACCAGGGGGAGAAGGUAUGAUUGGAUGUGACCAACUGUUGAAGGCUGAUGCCUCGGCAACACACACGAUGCAGAAAAGAAGUGUGGAGGCCAAGUGGGAGAGCCCUGGACACUGCAACAGGGUUGUUGUAUCACAGAGUUUCUUCUCACUGUAUCACAGGAGAUAGCACAAGGAAUGUUUUCUUCAGUUGCACCAUCUCUGUCCUAUUGGACUUGCUCCUGAAGUUCAACUGAGCUGGAUGAGACACGAAAAAUCUCUUUCAGAAGCAGGACACUUGUGCUCGUCUCUUCACUAUUUGUGCCCUUUUCACUUGUGGAAUAUCUUACUGGCUUCCAGAUCAACACUGUGUCCUCAACUUUGGUUGAAGGCUUAUACAAGAAUUGUAGCUAUGAAAAAAUGCUGUACAGUAUCUAUUAACCA